CUCCACCGCUUGUGUGAGCCCCCGUCAAUUUCUUUGAGUUUCAGCCUUGCGACCAUACUCCCCAGGCGGUGCACUUAACACUUUCGCUACGACCGAGAGCCUAUGGGGGGGCCCUCGAUCAAGUGCACAGAGUUUACGGCCAGGACUACGGGGGUAUCUAAUCCCCUUCGCUCCCCUGGCUUUCGUACCUCAGCGUCAGAAGAGACCCAGUAAGCCGCUUUCGCCACUGGUGUUUCUGAUGAUAUCAACGCAUUUCACCGCUCCACCAUCAGUUCCGCUUACCUCUGUCUCCCUCAAGCACUGCAGUAUCGGGCGCAAUUCCACGGUUGAGCCGUGGGAUUUCACACCCGACUGACAGCGCCGCCUACGUACCCUUUAAGCCCAGUAAUUCCGAAUAACGUUUGGACGGUUCGUAUUACCGCGGCUGCUGGCACGAACUUAGCCCGUCCUUCCUCCUAGAAUAGGUCAAUGACUGGGGAGAACCCCAAUCAACUUCCUCCUCUACGACAGUGGUUUACA
rnacentral:rRNA from 1 species